ensembl:lncRNA
GACUAAUCCCAACUAUCAGGGGAUGCUCUGUCAAAACGUGCUGCAGGGGCCCUAAGGCGAACAGAGCCGGUGAGCAGCGCGCGCGGCUCAACCAGCUCACCAGUGACAGAGCAGAGGGGCGAGAUUAGCAUAAUGCCUAUCGGAGUGUGUGUGUGUGAUGGAUAGAGAGAGGGAGAAUGUUUUGUGUGUGAGAGACAGAGCAAAAGCAUAUAUUUGAUAUAAAAAAGGAACCUGCAUGCAUAUAGUUGCAACAAUGCGUUCAUGCAUUGCACUGUGUGUUUGCAGUGACCUGACAGCGUAUCGCUGACCUCGUCUCAUGUUUAUCAUCUAACUUUUCACUCUACGAAGCGCCAUCCGGCUGUCUGUCUCCUCUGGGUCUGCUGGGCGGAGAAAAGCUCCGACCGCACCUAUGGAAGCAGAGAGAGAUGGAGCUCGUCUGAAUAUUCAUGCCCUGGGCCCUCAGCACCACCCGAACCCCCCUAAAAUCCUCGGCGCUCUACCCCAGCGACGUGCUCCAGGUUAAGGCCAACUCCGAAAGAGACACAGGCAGGAGAGAAGAAAGAAUUAGUGAGAGGCUUAUUUGGAAGAAACGGUGGGCCCACGACCAGCCCGGCUGCUUUAGCCCGGACCCUGCCCUUUCAGCUCAAUCGACACUGACAGAUCCCUGGCCUGGGAUUGCCAGCUGGCACACAGGAAGAGAAUGACAGAGUGAUGGAGAAAGAGCGAAACUCGGACCAGGUCAAAGUUUUCGUAAUCCAAGUGCCCAAACUAUCUCGCUUUGAACUCUGUCCAGGUGAAGCAACAUAUGCAAGACAUUCAAGACAUUAUAUUUUGUAUUAUGCAAGACAUUUUUAGGACCAGUUGUCAAUAUUUUCUGUCUAAUAACAACAGCAAUACGUCUGCCCACUGCUCCAGGUGUGUGUUCACGUUGUGUGUGUGUGUUCACUACAGUGUGUGUGCACUUGGAUGGGUUAAAUGCAGAGCACAAAUUCCGAGUAUGGGUCACCAUAUUUGGCCACACAUCACAUCACUUUCUAUUUUGUGUGCUAAAUGACACAUUUAAAAUAUUUGUAUUUAAUACAAUAAAAUAAUGUUUUUAUAUAGAAUGUUUUCA